GACGAACGCUGGCGGCGUGCUUAAUACAUGCAAGUCGAACGCAGUGGGGCCGGGUGAGUCACACGUGGGUAACCUCCCAUCAGAGGGGAUAACACUUGGACACAGGUGCUAAACCGAUACUGAUGGAUGGCCCCGCGGUGCUUUUGCUAGUUGGUGAGGUAACGGCUCACCAAGGCACCGAUGCAUAGCCGACCUGAGAGGGUGAUGGGCCAGACUGGGACGUAGACACGGCCCAAACUCCUACGUGAGGCAGCAGUAGGGAAUCUUCGGCAAUGGACGAAAGUCUGAUCGAGCAACGCCGAGUGAGUGAAGAAGGUUUUCGGAUCGUAAAACGCUGUUGUUAGAGAAGCGGUAUCUAACCAGAAAGCCACGGCUAACUACGUGCCAGCAGCCGCGGUAAUAC
rnacentral:rRNA from 1 species